ACGUACACUCCUGCGGGAGGCAGCAGUGGGGAAUAUUGCACAAUGGGCGCAAGCCUGAUGCAGCCAUGCCGCGUGUAUGAAGAAGGCUUUCGGGUUGUAAAGUACUUUCAGCGGGGAGGAAGGCAAUACGGUUAAUAACCGUAUUGAUUGACGUUACCCGCAGAAGAAGCACCGGCUAACUCCGUGCCAGCAGCCGCGGUAAUACGGAGGGUGCAAGCGUUAAUCGGAAUUACUGGGCGUAAAGCGCACGCAGGCGGUCUGUCAAGUCGGAUGUGAAAUCCCCGGGCUCAACCUGGGAACUGCAUUCGAAACUGGCAGGCUUGAGUCUUGUAGAGGGGGGUAGAAUUCCAGGUGUAGCGGUGAAAUGCGUAGAGAUCUGGAGGAAUACCGGUGGCGAAGGCGGCCCCCUGGACAAAGACUGACGCUCAGGUGCGAAAGCGUGGGGAGCAAACAGGAUUAGAUACCCCUGUAGUCCCAUG
rnacentral:rRNA from 1 species